rnacentral:rRNA from 1 species
GACGUAGGGGGCGAGCGUUGUCCGGAUUCAUUGGGCGUAAAGAGCGUGUAGGCGGCCAGGUAGGUCCGUUGUGAAAACUCGAGGCUCAACCUCGAGACGUCGGCGGAAACCCUCUGGCUAGAGUCCGGAAGAGGAGAGUGGAAUUCCUGGUGUAGCGGUGAAAUGCGCAGAUAUCAGGAAGAACACCCGUGGCGAAGGCGGCUCUCUGGGACGGUACUGACGCUGAGACGCGAAAGCGUGGGGAGCAAACAGG